ACGGAAGGCAGCAGUGGGGAAUAUUGGUCAAUGGAGGAAACUCUGAACCAGCAACGCCGCGUGAAUGAUGAAGGUCUUCGGAUUGUAAAGUUCUUUUAUAAGGGAAGAAGAAAGUGACGGUACCUUAUGAAUAAGCGUCGGCUAACUACGUGCCAGCAGCCGCGGUAAUACGUAGGACGCAAGCGUUAUCCGGAAUGACUGGGCGUAAAGGGUGCGUAGGUGGUUUUGCAAGUUAGUAGCGUAACCCCGGGGCUCAACCUCGGAACUACUACUAAAACUGUAGAACUUGAGUGCAGGAGGGGCAACUGGAAUUCCUAGUGUAGCGGUGGAAUGCGUAGAUAUUAGGAGGAACACCAGUGGCGAAGGCGAGUUGCUGGACUGUAACUGACACUGAGGCACGAAAGCGUGGGGAGCAAACAGGAUUAGAUACCCUGGUA
rnacentral:rRNA from 1 species